CGAGGGAAAUAGUUAGUUUUGUUUUCCCGAGAAUCUCAACAUUGAGAUUCGUGGGAAAACAAAACUAACUCUUUCCCGA